rnacentral:lncRNA from 1 species
UCUAUUUCCUUUCCUCAUUCCCAAUCUCCGAUCCAUCCCUAAAAGCAACUGACGAGAGAUCGAUGAUGAUGAAGAUGCCUUGGGAGGAGGAAGAGCAGGAGCUUCCAUCUUCAGCUACAAGGGGCAAUUGGUACCAUUCAAUCUCCAUUCCUAUUCUUAUUUACCAAUUAUUGCCAUUCUUCUACUUCCACACUUGAAGAUGCACGCUUCUUCACAAAUAACUUCAAAUCUGCUUCUUUUACCCGCCUUCAUGAUGCCAUUACUUCCUUUAAUCAUGUAAUUCAUAUGAAUCCUCUGCCUUCUAGGGUUCAUUUUAAUAGAUUCUUAUCUGCCCUCCUGAAAAUGAAUCAAUAUCACACUGUCUUUUCCAUGUCCAAAACAAUUGAAUUGCUAGGAAUCUCACACGAUGUUUAUUCUCUUAGCAUCUUAAUUAAUUGCUUCUGCCACUUACACCUUGUGGAUUUUGGCUUCUCUGUUUUUGGUAAGAUGCUCAAAUUCGGAUUGGAGCCUGACGUUGUGACAUUUACUACCUUAAUUAAUGGGCUUUGUAUAGAGAAUAAAAUGGACAAAGCAGAAUUGAGAGAAUACCUCCAUUCAUAAAUCACAUGUUGAGAGAAUUGAUGACUACUCUCAUAGUGUAGAAACUUUAGACAUCAUGAAUCUCAGUGUAAGAAAAGGCACAAAAGAUAAAUCUAGUAAUUUAAGAAUAAAAGAAUAGAUGGAAAUAAGCGUGACAAUGUUGAAGAGGUGGUAACGGUGGCAGGGAAUAUAAAUGAAGGAAAAUGGAAGAGUAGAGUGGUAGGAAGUGUGAAAGGAAAAGAGAAGAUAUAUAGUCCUACAAGAGAAAAUUAUUAAUUAUAUAAUAUUAUAACAGAGAGAUUGGAGUGCAUUUUAAUUUUUUUUCUUUAUAUAUAUAAUUUAUGUGAAUUGAUUCGAAAAGUUUAACGUUUGUAAUAUUAACAUUUUAAUUUUAAUUUUUUAAUUUUAGUUUAAUUAGUUUAAAUUUUACGUUCUUAUGUAAUUUUAAUUUACUUAUAAUUUUUAAAUUUCUGGUAUAUCACAUAAUUUAUUAUUAUUAUUAUUAUUAUUAUUAUUAUUAUUAUUAAUGAUUAAAUUAUCAAAAAAUUUAACAUUUAUAUUAUUUUGUAUUUUAAUUCAAAUGUUUAAAUUUUAAUUUAAUUAGCCCAAUAUAUAUAUUUGAUUGUAAUUUUAAUCAAUUUUAAAAAUCAAAAUAUAAGAAUUCGAAUAUCAAAUGUAAUAUUUUAUUAUUUUUUAAAUAUAAACUAAUUCAAAUAAUAUUAACUCAAUUUAAUUAUAGUUAAAUUAUAUAUUUAAUUUAAAAAAAUAAUAAUUUAAUGAUCAAAUAGAUCGUUUAUAUUGAUAGAUUUUAUUUUGCAUUGAUAGUUAUGAGAAAUUUAUAAUAAAUAUAUUAUUUUUAAUUAUUUUAUAUAUCCUGUUAUUUUAAAUUAAAUAAUAUAUUUACUAUAAAAUAUUUAUAAUUAUUAUUAUAAAAUAAAAUUUAUCAUAGUAGAAAACGUAAAUUAUAUAUUUAAUAAUUAAAUUAUUUAUUUUAAUUGGUCAAAAUUAUACUCAAACAUAAAUAUUGAAUCAAUUUAUUUAAAAUUUACACAUUUGAAUUAAAAUAUAAUAGUAUAAAUAUUAGAUUUUUUUAAUUAAUUAAUCAAUCAAAAAAUUUAUAAUAAUACACGUGUCAGCUAAAUAAUUAAAUUUAAAAGUUCACAGAUUAGAUAAAAUUACAUUAAAAUGUAAAAAUUGAGUUAAUUAAAUUAAAAUUAAAAAAUUAAAAUAUAAAUAUAAAUACAUGUAAAUAUUAAAUAUUUUUAAGUCAAUUAACCUAUAGUUUAUUUUAUACAUGUCUAUAAAUAAUAGUUUUAAAAUUCAAGAUAUACAAAAUGAUAAAUAAUUAAGAAUCUAUUUAUUAUUUAAAUUGUCAAAACUACAUUUGCAUAGAUUUAAUGAUCUCAUUCUGAGGCUUUUAAAGGUGCGCAAUGAGGAAUCAGCAAACUAAAGUUGUUAUAUCUUGACCAUUUAAGUGUGUCUUGGAGUGCAACUUAAUAAUUACCUUUUUCAAAUAUAAUAGAUAUGUAAUUUAACUAACUUCUUCAAAUAUCAUUUUUAAUUUCAAUCAGCUGUGAUUCUCUUCCAUAAAACGAAAAUUUCUAACACUGCAAAUUACCUGUGGUGGAAACCAUGAUAUGUGUGUGCCUUUCGCUUGAAUUGAGACAUGGACUAGAUCUCUUUGAUAUAAGAUUGUUGAUGAAUGGAGGUCAUGGAUUUCUAAUCAUCAAGUUGCUGGUAAACCCACCAUUUCCAUUACAAUUUUUUUUGCCUGCUACUACAGCCUUUACUCGAGAGCUCAGUUCUAAAUUUGAGUUGAGAACUAAAACUAAUUGGUUCCAUACUACAAUGCCUAAGAAUCUUUAUCUAUUUUUGUUUUUGUGCUCAAUGACCUUUCAAAAUGCUAUCAUUUCUUUUGCAGGUACUUGCAAGGAUAUGACUAUAACUUCACCUUCCUAACCAUAAAGGUAUAAGCAAUUCUUUUUUGCUUAAUUAUUAUAUUUUUAAUAAUAAUGAAAAUAAUGAUUAUAGACCAGUAUGCUUUAAUUGAGAAUUGAUUUAACAAUUAGACUACACUAUAAAUGCAGGGUGCAGGAUAGACAGUCCCAGAGUACAAGGUAAGAGAAUCACUGGACUUCUACAGCUGUUGGUUGGAUGAAAUGUCACUAAAAUUAUAGACAACAGAAAAUGUUAUGGGAAUUGAAGGAAAAGCCAACAUCGUCUUUGUCACCUUUUCUUUUUCUAGUCAUCAAGUUGGGUAUAUAUAUAUAUAUAUAUAUCCUUAAUUUCUUUUAUUUUCCUUCAAGUCAAAUUAGUGAAAUCAUUGCAUUAGCAUCUAAUAAUGUGAAGGUCACAAUCUUUUCCAAUGAAAUCAUUUUUUUAACAUGAAAUUUGAAUUUUAGAAAUGCUUGUGGAAGGUAUAUAUAUAUUCUUCCCUUUGAGAUUCUUUACUUUGUGCCAAGUUGUUUGGAUGUGUAACUGGCGAUUAAAUGUUGAUAGUUAAUAGCAAUAGCUAUCAAAUAAAGCGAGUCCAUUUAAGGAUAUGAUUAAAUCACUUUGCUUGGCGUAAUGCAACUAUUUUGAAACUGCUUUCUAAAUUAACCAAACCUCUAUUGUAUGAUUUGUAUCCUGCUGAAGCCAAGGUACAAGUGUAGUGGUUGAGAAAUCUGCCAUUUUUUUUUAGUUUUUUGUUUGACAGAAAAUCUACCAAUUUAAGUUGUUGAAACUGUUGAAUCUUGUGAUAGUAAAUUAUUCAGAUCCUUCUGCUCUUCAAAACUCAGAUAAUCCAAGUAGGAUUCUCAUAUCUGCACCCUUAAAUUUAGUAAAUUAUUCGACUUGGAGUAUGUCUAUGACUAUGACACUUGCUUUAAAGAAAGAUUUGGGCAACUUAUACACCAAUUAAAGAAAGAAAUAAAUCAAGAAUCUAUAUCAGUUGUUGUUUACUUUAGAAAAUUGAAGAAACUAUGGGAUAAACUUGGUGUUUUAAAGCAUCAUCAAAGAUAUGAGUUUGUUUUUAGUAUAAUUCUAUGUUCAGCCUCCUCAUUCUUAAAAGAAAAGUUAGGAAGUUAGAAAGUUGGGAGUGGAGGAAAGAGUUUCAUAUAGAUUUUGUGACUUUUGGAAAGCUUUUGGGCGUGUUAGAGAUACUUGCUGAUUGGUUUAGAAAUUAUAAGCAAAAGAAGAGGAUGAAAAUCAGACAUAUGCAAGCCACUGAGACAAGCAACUGCAAUUGGUCCUGCUAGCGAUUGGAAUGCUAGUUUAGCUUCAGCUAUUUAACAGGACUUUUUGUCCAAAUUUAUUUAUGAACAAGUUCAUAAUAGGCAGGUUAGCUCUAUAUAUAACACAGCUAUAAUCAAAGAAGGGGGCAGGAAAAAUGUCAAUACAAAGAAACUUCAUCUGAUUAAAUGGAAUACUCUUUUGUUGCCUAAAAAGAAUGGAGGCUUAGGCAUGAAAGAGAUCUCUCUUCAAAUUCACGCUCUUUUGUUCAAAUGGCUUUGGAGAUUUGAAAAUCAUAGGGAUUCACUCUGAGUUCAACUUCUUCUAUCCAAAUAUUCUUUCAAUUUGGAGAAGGGUAUCUCUCUUGCUCCAGGAAAUUGCAUUUCUUCCCUUCAGAAAGACAUUCGAGGCUAUGCUACUUUCGAUGAACUCUUCCUUCUCUCCUUUAAUUCAUAUCAGAUUUGCUGUGGGGAAUGAGAUGAAAAUGAAAUUUUGGAAUGAAAGACGAUCGGUUGGUAAUAUUGCUCUCAAAUUCUCCUUUAGUGGACUAUUAAAUUUAGCAGCUAACCUAGUUGUGUUGAUGUUAAAUAUGGGGUGUUGGGUGAAGAACAAAUGGGAAUGGGAAAUAAUUGAAUUGUCAAAAUUAUACUUGUCAAAAUCUCGAAUGUGAUUGAUCCUGGUAACCUGCAUCCCUUUCUUCUUUCUAUGAUUGAGCGUUUAUAAAUGAGCAAGGUCUGUCUACUAACAGUAACUCAUAUGCAUCCUUUGCCUUGUAGGCUCAAUUUAAUAGAUUCUUAUUUGCCCUUGUGAAAAUGCCACGCAACAAUAUUACGUACUUUGUCAUUUCCUUGUUUAAAACAACUGAAUUGUUGAUAUUUAAUAGAUUCUUAAAUGUUUCUUUUUCCAUUUACACCUUGUGGAUUUUGGCUUCUUUGCUUUUCGGAAAUUUAUAUAUAUAUAUAUAUAUAUAUAUAUAUUUGAAAAAGAUAAAAAUUGAAUACAACUCAAUAGUCUCAAUCAACUCUCCAAGCUGAAACAUGUUAUAUUUCAUUUAAAAGAAUGAAUUGAUCAACUCUUAUUUUUAUAUUUUUGAAAGAAAUAAAAAUUGAGUACAACUGAUAGAGAAGUAGUCUUAACCAACUCUUCAAUUCUUCUGAUAUAAUUUGUUUAAUUGUUCUUCUUCACUGCUUUAAUUUGCAACUUUUUUUAAACCAAUUAAUAAACUAAUUUAUAUAAAUUGAAUCCCAAUUACUCUUCUCCAGUAUAAAAUUUCCUUUCAAGUUCUCUCACUCUCAAACCUUUCAUUAACUUAGAAAAUUUUGAUCAAUAAUGCUAUCGUGGGAAGCUUCUAGCAGGAAAAUGAAUUCUCUUUUCAAGAUUUUAAGUCAAUGUUAUGCAAUCAAAUUAUUACUUUCCAAUUCGACCGAUUAGAAAGCUAAAAUCCUAUAAAUUUAAAGAGGCUAUGUAGCCAUAUAUGUGGGUGACGAAGACAAAAGAUAUCAAGUUUCAGUGGAAAAUCUCAAGUUUUCUGCAUUACAAGAAAAUUGCCUUAGGAUAGUGAUCUCGACUCUAGGAUAGUGAUCUCGACUCCAAAAUUGAUGGCCAAUCGUACUUGCUACUGACAAGUUUGAUGAACUACUGAAACUUGUAAAGGGUUGUCAUAUGAAACUUUAGAGAGUUUUGAAUAAUUUUUUUUUAUAUGUUUAAAUUACUAAUAAAUAUUUUAUUUUAUUAAAAUUAAUUUUUCAAUUUCUAUUUCUAAAUUACUCAAUUAAAAUUUUAAAUCAUUUUAAAUUUUAUAAAGUCAAACUUUUUAAUUUUUUUGCACUCCUAAACUUAGUCUGGUGAUAAGUGCAUCCGAGUAAAUCUGAGAGAUCUAGGUUCGAAUUCUCCGACCCCUAAUUCAAAAAAAAAAAUUAAAUAUUUUUAUCGAAUAAAAUAUUAGUAAAUAUAUUUUUAGCUUUAAUUAGAAAAUUUUAAAUUAUAUAUAAUAUAAAACUUUAUUUUAAUCAAAUGACAAAAUUAAAAAAUUAAACGGUCAAUUUUGACACAAUAUAAAAAUCAAAUAAUAAUCCACUCUUUUAUAUUUUAAAGUAAUUUUUUGGGUACAUUAUGGGAAAUUCUCAAUAAUUUUACCAAUUAUAUCUACCAUUUAUAUGCGUCUUCGAAAAGUUUUAUUUUUUCUAUUUAUGCAUUGAUUUUAUUUCUUAUGAGAAUUUGCCAAUCUCCAAUCCAUCCCUAUUUCCUUUUCCGAUUCUCUAUUUCCUUUCCUCAUUCCCAAUCUCCGAUCCAUCCCUAAAAACAGCUGACGAGAGAUCGAUGAUGAUGAAGAUGCCUUGGAAUAGGAAGAGCAGGAGCUUCCAUCUUCAGCUACAAGGGGCAAUUGGUACCAUUCAAUCUCCAUUCCUAUUCUUAUUUACCAAUUAUUGCCAUUCUUCUACUUACACGCUUGAAGAUGCACGCUUCUUGACAAAUAACUUCAAAUCUGCUUCUUUUACCCACCUUGAUGAUGCCAUUGCUUCCUUCAAUCAUGUAAUUCAUAAGCAUCCUCUGCCUUCUAGGGUUCCAUUUAAUAGAUUCUUAUCUGCCCUUGUGAAAAUGAAACAAUAUCACACUGUCCUUUCCAUGUCCAANNN